UAGGCCUGUAGCUCAGUCUGGCAGAGCGCCUGGCUUUUAACCAGGCGGCCGCGGGUUCAAUUCCCGUCAGGCCUGU
rnacentral:tRNA from 1 species